rnacentral:rRNA from 1 species
GACAGAGGGUGCAAACGUUGUUCGGAAUUACUGGGCGUAAAGCGUGUGUAGGCGGCCAUGUAAGUCAGGUGUGAAAGCCCCCGGGCUCAACCCGGGAAGUGCACUUGAUACUGCGUGGCUUGAGUACUGGAGAGGUUGGUGGAAUUCUCGGUGUAGAGGUGAAAUUCGUAGAUAUCGAGAGGAACACCGGUGGCGAAGGCGGCCAACUGGACAGAUACUGACGCUGAGACACGAAAGCGUGGGGAGCAAACAGG